rnacentral:rRNA from 1 species
AUGGUUAAGUUAGAAAGGGCGCACGGUGGAUGCCUUGGCACUAGGAGCCGAUGAAGGACGGGACGAACACCGAUAUGCUUCGGGGAGCUGUAAGCAAGCUUUGAUCCGGAGAUUUCCGAAUGGGGAAACCCACUGCUCGUAAUGGAGUAGUAUCCAUACUUGAAUACAUAGAGUAUGAGAAGGCAUACCCGGGGAACUGAAACAUCUAAGUACCCGGAGGAAGAGAAAGCAAAUGCGAUUCCCUGAGUAGCGGCGAGCGAAACGGGAACAGCCCAAACCAAGAGGCUUGCCUCUUGGGGUUGUAGGACACUCUAUACGGAGUUACAAAGGAACGAUAUAAGCGAAGAGGUCUGGAAAGGCCCGCCAAAGAAGGUAACAGCCCUGUAACUGAAAUGUUGUUCUCUCCAGAGUGGAUCCUGAGUACGGCGGAACACGUGAAAUUCCGUCGGAAUCCGGGAGGACCAUCUCCCAAGGCUAAAUACUCCCUAGUGACCGAUAGUGAACCAGUACCGUGAGGGAAAGGUGAAAAGCACCCCGGAAGGGGAGUGAAAUAGAUCCUGAAACCGUGUGCCUACAAGUAGUCAGAGCCCGUUAACGGGUGAUGGCGUGCCUUUUGUAGAAUGAACCGGCGAGUUACGAUCCCGUGCAAGGUUAAGCAGAAGAUGCGGAGCCGCAGCGAAAGCGAGUCUGAAUAGGGCGCAUGAGUACGUGGUCGUAGACCCGAAACCAGGUGAUCUACCCAUGUCCAGGGUGAAGUUCAGGUAACACUGAAUGGAGGCCCGAACCCACGCACGUUGAAAAGUGCGGGGAUGAGGUGUGGGUAGGGGUGAAAUGCCAAUCGAACCUGGAGAUAGCUGGUUCUCUCCGAAAUAGCUUUAGGGCUAGCCUCAAGGUAAGAGUCUCGGAGGUAGAGCACUGAUUGGACUAGGGGCCCCUACCGGGUUACCGAAUUCAGUCAAACUCCGAAUGCCGAUGACUUAUCCUUGGGAGUCAGACUGCGAGUGAUAAGAUCCGUAGUCGAAAGGGAAACAGCCCAGACCGCCAGCUAAGGUCCCAAAGUAUACGUUAAGUGGAAAAGGAUGUGGAGUUGCUUAGACAACCAGGAUGUUGGCUUAGAAGCAGCCACCAUUUAAAGAGUGCGUAAUAGCUCACUGGUCGAGUGACUCUGCGCCGAAAAUGUACCGGGGCUAAACGUAUCACCGAAGCUGCGGACUGUUCUUACGAACAGUGGUAGGAGAGCGUUCUAAGUGCAGUGAAGUCAGACCGGAAGGACUGGUGGAGCGCUUAGAAGUGAGAAUGCCGGUAUGAGUAGCGAAAGACGGGUGAGAAUCCCGUCCACCGAAUGCCUAAGGUUUCCUGAGGAAGGCUCGUCCGCUCAGGGUUAGUCGGGACCUAAGCCGAGGCCGAAAGGCGUAGGCGAUGGACAACAGGUUGAUAUUCCUGUACCACCUCCUCACCAUUUGAGCAAUGGGGGGACGCAGGAGGAUAGGGUAAGCGCGGUAUUGGAUAUCCGCGUCCAAGCAGUUAGGCUGGGAA